rnacentral:misc_RNA from 1 species
CGUGGGAGCGGGCUUGCUCGCGAAUGCGUUGGUUCAGUCACCAGAGGUAUUGACUGAACCAACGCAUUCGCGAGCAAGCCCGCUCCCACA